UACGUAGGGUGCGAGCGUUAAUCGGAAUUACUGGGCGUAAAGCGUGCGCAGGCGGUUUUGUAAGCCAGAUGUGAAAGCCCCGGGCUUAACCUGGGAAUGGCAUUUGGGACUGCAAGGCUUGAGUGCGGCAGAGGAGACUGGAAUUCAUGGUGUAGCAGUGAAAUGCGUAGAUAUCAUGAGGAAUACCAGUGGCGAAGGCGGCCUUCUGGACUGACACUGACGCUGAGGCGCGAAAGCCAGGGGAGCAAACGGG
rnacentral:rRNA from 1 species